UAACAUGUAAGUUUGAAUCAAAUAACUGCCACAUCUUUAUUGCCUAAAUUAGUCUGAACUCUUGAGAUAUUCUUGGAGCUGGGAGGAGUCACCAGGACAGAGUUUUAAAUGGGAUAUUUUCCUUUCACCAUUGAUCACUAUGAAUUUGAUAGGUUACUUAGCUAAUGAAGCAGAAAUUUACUCCUUGAUUAUUCAGAAAAUAGGUCAAGUACACCAUGGGCAUUAUGGAACCCCACUUAAAUGGCUAAUGAGGUUUAUAACUUGAAGCAGUCUAUUCUUUUUUGGGUGGUUAGCCUGAAUGGGGCUCUAAUGGCUUUUUUGCCUCAUAUAGUUGAUCCAGCUUUGAUUUCUGAUUUUUGCAUAGUAGAGGUUAGGUCUGAGGUGUAACACUAAGCCCUUGAAUUAUAUUCUGCUCCUCAGAAAUAUGUGGUUAUAGUUGUCCUUAUGACACAACAAAGCUGCUGGUGAUUAGCAAAUAUUUAAACAAAAUUACUCCACGUCAAUUUUAAGGUUGUACAGUUUGUAACACUGUAUAACAGCUAAUCCAAAAUGACUAAAGUUUGGCUGUUGCCAAUAAUGGAGAACUGUGAGAUUCUUAUUCCUGAGGCAUCCAAGUGUCUCAGCUGGUUGGGUAUUUUCAAAUUGUCUGAUUAAUU